rnacentral:rRNA from 1 species
CCAUACGACCGUACCGCAAACCGACACUGGUGCGCGAGAUGAGUAUUCUAAGGCGCUUGAGAGAACUCAGGAGAAGGAACUCGGCAAAUUGACACCGUAACUUCGGAAGAAGGUGUGCCCUAUUAGUGUGUAGUGAACAACGAAGCAUGAAUGGGUUGCAAAAAAUCGGUGGCUGCGACUGUUUAUUAAAAACACAGCACUCUGCAAACACGAAAGUGGACGUAUAGGGUGUGACGCCUGCCCGGUGCUGGAAGAUUAAAUGAUGGGGUGCAAGCUCUUGAUUGAAGUCCCAGUAAACGGCGGCCGUAACGAUAACGGUCCUAAGGUAGCGAAAUUCCUUGUCGGGUAAGUUCCGACCUGCACGAAUGGCGUAACGAUGGCCACACUGUCUCCUCCUGAGACUCAGCGAAGUUGAAAUGUUUGUGAUGAUGCAAUCUCCCCGCGGAAAGACGGAAAGACCCCAUGAACCUUUACUGUAGCUUUGUAUUGGACUUUGAACAGAUCUGUGUAGGAUAGGUGGGAGGCUUUGAAGCAGGGUCGCUAGAUCUUGUGGAGCCAACGUUGAAAUACCACCCUGGUGUGUUUGAGGUUCUAACCUAGGCCCAUUAUCUGGAUCGGGGACAGUGCAUGGUAGGCAGUUUGACUGGGGCGGUCUCCUCCCAAAGCGUAACGGAGGAGUUCGAAGGUACGCUAGUUACGGUCGGACAUCGUGACGAUAGUGCAAUGGCAUAAGCGUGCUUAACUGCGAGACUGACAAGUCGAGCAGAUGCGAAAGCAGGACAUAGUGAUCCGGUGGUUCUGUAUGGAAGGGCCAUCGCUCAACGGAUAAAAGGUACUCUGGGGAUAACAGGCUGAUACCGCCCAAGAGUUCAUAUCGACGGCGGUGUUUGGCACCUCGAUGUCGGCUCAUCUCAUCCUGGGGCUGUAGCCGGUCCCAAGGGUAUGGCUGUUCGCCAUUUAAAGAGGUACGUGAGCUGGGUUUAAAACGUCGUGAGACAGUUUGGUCCCUAUCUUCCGUGGGCGCUGCAGAUUUGAGGAAGCCUGCUCCUAGUACGAGAGGACCGGAGUGGACACACCUCUGGUGUAUCGGUUGUCACGCCAGUGGCAUUGCCGAGUAGCUAAGUGUGGAAGAGAUAACCGCUGAAAGCAUCUAAGCGGGAAACUCGUUUCAAGAUGAGAUCUGCCGGGGCCUUGAGCCCCCUAAAGAGUCGUUCAAGACCAGGACGUUGAUAGGUCAGGUGUGGAAGU